UCGACCCCGGCGUUUACACCAUCGAGUUUUAUCGAUUGUAAGUCGAUUGUCGCUGUAUGGUUCUUCCGGUACAGGUCCAUGUGUUUGUAACACGUUGUUCAAUACUAGGACGGAGCGAAGGCUGUUGGAGGAAUUUAUUUUGUGACUGAAAAUGGCGAAGUCAAAGAAUCACACGAAUCAUAAUCAAAGUA